rnacentral:rRNA from 1 species
GAAAGCACCGGCUAACUCCGUGCCAGCAGCCGCGGUAAUACGGAGGGUGCGAGCGUUAAUCGGAAUUACUGGCGUAAAGACGCAUGCAGGUGGUUUGUUAAGUCAGAUGUGAAAGACCCGGGGCGUCAACCUCGGAAUUGCAUUUGAAACUAGGCAAACUAGAGUACUGUAGAGGGGGGUAGGAAUUUCAGGUGUAGCGGUGAAAUGCGUAGAGAUCUGAAGGAAUACCGGUGGCGAAGGCGGCCCCCUCGGACAGAUACUGACACUCAGAUGCGAAAGCGUGGGGAGCAAACAGGAUUAGAUACCCUGGUAG